rnacentral:rRNA from 1 species
CAGCAGCCGCGGGAAUACGUAGGUGGCAAGCGUUGUCCGGAAUUAUUGGGCGUAAAGGGCUCGCAGGCGGUUUCUUAAGUCUGAUGUGAAAGCCCCCGGCUCAACCGGGGAGGGUCAUUGGAAACUGGGAAACUUGAGUGCAGAAGAAGAGAGUGGAAUUCCAUGUGUAGCGGUGAAAUGCGUAGAUAUAUGGAGGAACACCAGUGGCGAAGGCGACUCUCUGGUCUGUAACUGACGCUGAGGCGCGAAAGCGUGGGGAGCAAACAGGAUUAGAUACCCCAGUAGUCCCUGUCUCUUAUAC